CCUACGGGGGGCUGCAGUGGGGAAUAUUGGACAAUGGGGGGAACCCUGAUCCAGCCAUGCCGCGUGUGUGAAGAAGGCCCUCGGGUUGUAAAGCACUUUCAGUGAGGAAGAACGCCUGGUGGUUAAUACCCAUCAGGAAAGACAUCACUCACAGAAGAAGCACCGGCUAACUCCGUGCCAGCAGCCGCGGUAAUACGGAGGGUGCGAGCGUUAAUCGGAAUUACUGGGCGUAAAGCGCGCGUAGGUGGCUUGAUAAGCCGGUUGUGAAAGCCCCGGGCUCAACCUGGGAACGGCAUCCGGAACUGUCAAGCUAGAGUGCAGGAGAGGAAGGUAGAAUUCCCGGUGUAGCGGUGAAAUGCGUAGAGAUCGGGAGGAAUACCAGUGGCGAAGGCGGCCUUCUGGACUGACACUGACACUGAGGUGCGAAAGCGUGGGUAGCAAACAGGAUUAGAUAUCCCUGUAGUC
rnacentral:rRNA from 1 species